UGCAGAAGGAUCAUUAUUGAAUUGUAAAAAUGGGGAAGUCGCUUUCGAGCACUCCUCUACCUUUCUUUAUUCCUAAACACCUGUGAAUCGUUGCUGAGUUCGCUCAGUGGCACCAAUUUAAACACAUUUAUAGUUUUGAACGUAAAAAAACAAAAAACAAAAAUAUAACUUUUGACAACGGAUCUCUUGGUUCUCCCAUCGAUGAAGAACGCAGCGAAAUGCGAUAAGUAAUGUGAAUUGCAGAAUUCAGUGAAUCAUCGAAUCUUUGAACGCACCUUGCGCUCCUUGGUAUUCCUUGGAGCAUGCCUGUUUGAGUGUCUUGAAUAUCUCUACUCCUCAACUUUUUAACUAAGGUUGGUUUGGAGUAGGUCCUUGGGCUUGCUUGCGGUUUGUUACGAACACAUGCUUGCCUUAAAUGCAUUAGCUGGAUUUCAGUAGAGUUGUUAAGUAACAUUGAAAACUCUCGUAAUACGAAGUCUGCUUCUAAUCCGUCGUCUUUAUUGACACACAUAUUCAUUUCUUUGGCCUCAAAUCAGGUAGGACUACCCGCUGAACUUAAGCAUAUCAAUAGCGGGAGGGAA
rnacentral:rRNA from 1 species